CUGUUUAUUACUUGAAAUCACGGUGCUCGUGUAGGUUUUUUUUUUUUUUUCAAUUUUAUGUUUUCAUACAUGAAACUCACGCCAGGUGCCGGGACCCCCACAGCCCGACCCCCCGAGGGCGGGUAAUGCUUUCUUGGGCAGCCCUUACCGGGCAGAGGGUGGCGAGCCGGUUCCUGCCUGGAGGUUCCACCCUCAACCAGUGGAGGCACAGACGUUAUUUAAAAAUCGUUAAAAAACAAAACAGAACACACAUUUAAAUAGGUAUCCAAGACAGUUCUUCAAAAAACAAACCCGCCCCUUUUACUCCUUUUUUUUCUAUUUUUUUUUCUUUUUUUUUUGGAAAAAUGAAAACAAAACAAAACCCAAAAUCCUUGAGCUCUACCCUCUGGGACCCCUCCCUGCCCACCCUCCCACAAAAAAAUUUACAGCGCUACAGUUAUAACACGUGAUGUUCACAUCUGAAACCAUUAACUUUCAACACAUAAAGGGGGGGAGUUGAGGACCUGGGGUUCACCUACGAGAACAACGGGUGAAGGAGGUAGGAAGCAAAGCCCAUGAAGAGUCCAGGAAACCACGGUCAGAACUUUUUAAAAAAAGAAAAAAAUAAUAAAAAAGAAGAAAAGAAAAAAAGACUUCUGGCUGGGGGAGUGGCCGCCUGCCCUCCAGGGCUGGGCCACGUUCUCUCCGGGGCUCUCGGAGUCCCCGCCGCCCUGGGCUGGGGUGCGAGGGGCGAGGGUGGCCGAUCCGAAGAUCCUAAGCCACCACGAACUCUGACUUGAUGUCAGGGUUGACUUCUGGCUUCCACACGGAGUCCUCGAAGUCGAGGCCCAAGCC
rnacentral:lncRNA from 1 species